GACGAACGCUGGCGGCGUGCUUAACACAUGCAAGUCGAACGAAGAGCGAUGGAAGCUUGCUUCUGUCAGUCUUAGUGGCGAACGGGUGAGUAACGCGUAAUCAACCUGCCCUUCAGGGGGGGACAACAGUAGGAAACGACUGCUCAUACCGCAUACGAUCUAAUCUCGGCAUCGAGGAUAGAUUAACGGUGGCCUCUACAUGUAAGCUAGCACUGCAAGUGGUGAUUGCGUCGGUUUAGCUAGAUGGCGGGGUAACGGCGCACCAAGGCGAGGAUCAGUAGCCGGUCUGAGAGGAUGAGCGGCCACAGUGGGACUGAGACACGGCACAGAGGCCUACGGGAGGCAGCAGUGGGGAAUCUUGCGGAAGGGACGAAAGUCUGACGGAGCAACGCCGAGUGAGUGAUGACGGCCUUCGGGUUGGAGAGCUCGGUUAAUCGGGACGAAAGGCCUUCUUGCGAAUAGUGAGAAGGAUUGACGGUACCGGAAGAGAAAGCCACGGCUAACUACGUG
rnacentral:rRNA from 1 species